rnacentral:rRNA from 1 species
UACGUAGGGUGCGAGCGUUAAUCGGAAUUACUGGGCGUAAAGCGUGCGCAGGCGGUUCGUUAUGUCCGUUGUGAAAGCCCCGGGCUCAACCUGGGAAUGGCAAUGGAAACUGGCGGGCUAGAGUGUGGCAGAGGGGGGUGGAAUUCCGCGUGUAGCAGUGAAAUGCGUAGAGAUGCGGAGGAACACCAGUGGCGAAGGCGGCUUUCUGGUCUGUAACUGACGCUGAGGCGCGAAAGCGUGGGGAGCAAACAGG